GGUUGCUCCCUUUCUGUGGGUCAGUAUUGGUGCAAGAACUGGAAACCAGCCCUUGGAGAAUAGUUAUACAUUGGCCAUGAUUUUCCACAGCCCUGGAAAUGCACAAUUCUAUCCUCCUACCAGGAUGAUUGUUAAGUUUUAACUAACAUUUGAUUAUAAAAGGCUGUAAGUAUGAGUAUCUCUGAGAUAAUUUGUGUAUUGGACAGAGGUGUGUAAUAGCACUUUUUUAAAAAAAACCUAGGUGUGAAGGAAUUACAAGUCCAGAAGGCUCAAAAUCUAUAGUGGAAGGAAUCAUAGAGGAAGAAGAAGAAGAUGAGGAAGGAAGUGAGUCUAUAAGCAAGAGGAAAAAGGAAGAUGACAUGGAGACCAAGAAAGACCAUCCAUACACCUGGAGAAUUGAACUGGCAAAAACAGAAAAAUACUGGGACGGCUGGUUCCGAGGCUUAUCCAAUCUCUUUCUUAGUUGUCCCAUUCCUAAAUUGCUGCUCUUGGCUGGUGUUGAUAGAUUGGAUAAAGAUCUGACCAUUGGCCAGAUGCAAGGGAAGUUCCAGAUGCAGGUCCUACCCCAGUGUGGCCAUGCAGUCCAUGAGGAUGCCCCUGACAAGGUAGCUGAAGCUGUUGCCACUUUCCUGAUCCGGCACAGGUUUGCAGAACCCAUCGGUGGAUUCCAGUGUGUGUUUCCUGGCUGUUAGUGACCUGCUGUCCACCUCUCCUCAACAUCGAGCUCUGUUGUAAAUAUGUCGCA
rnacentral:sRNA from 1 species